UACGGAGGGUCCAAGCGUUAUCCGGAAUCAUUGGGUUUAAAGGGUCCGUAGGCGGUCUUAUAAGUCAGUGGUGAAAUCUCUCCGCUCAACGUGGAAACGGCCAUUGAUACUGUAAGACUUGAAUUACUGUGAAGUAACUAGAAUAUGUAGUGUAGCGGUGAAAUGCUUAGAGAUUACAUGGAAUACCAAUUGCGAAGGCAGGUUACUAACAGUAUAUUGACGCUGAUGGACGAAAGCGUGGGGAGCGAACAGG
rnacentral:rRNA from 1 species